rnacentral:lncRNA from 1 species
CCUUUUUCUGUUCCAAAAUUGAUAUAUUGCAAAUAUCUGAAAUAAAUCUUGCCUAUGACCUUCCACAAUACGUUAAAUGUGGUCUUUUUCUUUUUUGCAAGCUUCUUAUCUCUCUCCAAAUUUAUGCUCCAAUAACAACUUGAAUUUUGCAUUUUUUUUUAUCAUGUAAUCUUGUUCCAUCAUUUUACGGCUUUACUCUAAUAAUUCUUUUU